rnacentral:snRNA from 1 species
GUUUUAACACAGAUAUCCUAAAAUACGUAUACUAAAAUUGGAACGAUACAGAGAAGAUUUGCAUGGCCCCUUCGCAAGGAUGACACGCAAAAUCGUGAAGCGUUCCACAUUUUU